rnacentral:tRNA from 1 species
GGGCACUUGGUCUAGGGGUAUGAUUUUCGCUUCGCAUUAACAAAAACUGCAGUAUGUGAAAGGUCGUGGGUUCAAUUCCCACAGUGUCCA